rnacentral:rRNA from 1 species
AACGAACGCUAGCGGCAGGCCUAACACAUGCAAGUCGAACGCCGUAGCAAUACGGAGUGGCAGACGGGUGAGUAACACGUGGGAACGUACCUUUCGGUUCGGAAUAACUCAGGGAAACUUGAGCUAAUACCGGAUACGUGCGAGAGCAGAAAGAUUUAUCGCCGAAAGAUCGGCCGCGUCCGAUUAGCUUGUUGGUGAGGUAAUGGCUCACCAAGGCGACGAUCGGUAGCUGGUCUGAGAGGAUGAUCAGCCACACUGGGACUGAGACACGGCCCAGACUCCUACGGGAGGCAGCAGUGGGGAAUAUUGGACAAUGGGCGAAAGCCUGAUCCAGCCAUGCCGCGUGAGUGAUGAAGGCCUUAGGGUUGUAAAGCUCUUUUGUCCGGGAAGAUAAUGACGGUACCGGAAGAAUAAGCCCCGGCUAACUUCGUGCCAGCAGCCGCGGUAAU